rnacentral:rRNA from 1 species
ACUCAAAUGAAUAGACGGGGGCCCGCACAAGCAGCGGAGCAUGUGGUUUAAUUCGAAGCAACGCGAAGAACCUUACCAGGUCUUGACAUCCAGGUAAAGCGGUAGAGAUACCGUGUGUGCUUGCACAAUCUGAGACAGGUGGUGCAUGGUUGUCGUCAGCUCGUGUCGUGAGAUGUUGGGUUAAGUCCCGCAACGAGCGCAACCCUUGCGAUUGGUUGCUAACAGGUGAAGCUGAGAACUCCAAUAGGACUGCCGGGGACAACUCGGAGGAAGGUGGGGACGAUGUCAAAUCAUCAUGCCCCUUAUGACCUGGGCUACACACGUGCUACAAUGGCCACUACAAAGAGAUACGAAGCCGUAAGGCGGAGUGGAUCUGCAAAAAGUGGUCUCAGUUCGGAUUGAGGGCUGCAACCCGCCCUCAUGAAGUCGGAGUUGCUAGUAAUCGCGAAUCAGCAUGUCGCGGUGAAUACGUUCCCGGGCCUUGUACACACCGCCCGU